rnacentral:rRNA from 1 species
GUUUGAUCAUGGCUCAGAUUGAACGCUGGCGGCAGGCCUAACACAUGCAAGUCGAGCGGAUGACGGGAGCUUGCUCCUUGAUUCAGCGGCGGACGGGUGAGUAAUGCCUAGGAAUCUGCCUGGUAGUGGGGGACAACGUUUCGAAAGGAACGCUAAUACCGCAUACGUCCUACGGGAGAAAGCAGGGGACCUUCGGGCCUUGCGCUAUCAGAUGAGCCUAGGUCGGAUUAGCUAGUUGGUGAGGUAAUGGCUCACCAAGGCGACGAUCCGUAACUGG